AGGACGAACGCUGGCGGCGUGCUUAACACAUGCAAGUCGAGCGGAAAGGCCCUUCGGGGUACUCGAGCGGCGAACGGGUGAGUAACACGUGAGCAACCUGCCCUUAGCUUCGGGAUAGCUCCGGGAAACCGGAAUUAAUACCGAAUAUGAUUUUGUCUGACAUCAGCAGAAGUGGAAAGUUUUUCGGCUAGGGAUGGACUCGCGGCCUAUCAGCUAGUUGGUGAGGUAACGGCCCACCAAGGCGACGACGGGUA
rnacentral:rRNA from 1 species